CACAGUCUUUGCCCUGGUAGGCUGGAAGGGGAUGGCUUCUCCUGAAGCAUUCAUGAUGCAGAGAGGCUUGUAGCCAUUGGACACCCACGGGAACUGUUGGGUAACACUGGUACAGAAAUAGUAUGCUGCGACACUUGGCUAGCAUGUUAACGUCUUGAACUAUCCUUUCCUAUAAAAGAAGGACAAUGUUUUCACAGUAACUCUCCUUCCUACACACCAAGCUGCCCCCAUAUAUGUGAAGCGGCCCGCGCACAAGAACAGGGAGCCUUGAACCUCUGCUAACUGAUCGGUGCAUCAAGCUGCUUAAAGAAAAACAUCAGAAACUUCACAAACCGAAUUAACCCAAUUAGGAGAUCAUUGUAACGCUUCUGGUUUUUGUUCUCAUUCACUGGAGAGGGGACAGCGGCUCCAUUCUCUCCCUCACCAUGUGGAAUGCAGCUUUGAAGAAGGAAAUGUGGUUACCUCACAUCUUCGGAACCAAGACUCUCUCAAGGAUCUGCUGAAGACAGGGAUGCUUCAUCUCCAUUGUCGGCUUGAUUGGAUUUGGAGUUACUAUGGAAACACACCCCUGUCCAUGUCUAUAAGGGUGUUUAACUACAGAAGAAAGACUCUUCCUUAAUGUGAUUGGCACCAGCCCAGGAGCCGGGGUCCCAGGCUGAAUAAAAAGGAGAAAGAGAACACUAGCUAAGCUUUCUUUGCUUCCCAACAUCAUGGAAACAAUGUGACCAGUGUUGGUAACAAAAUCACAGGCAGAGAGGUAGAGUUCAGCCUAGCUCUGUUUUAUGUAUCCAUUUGUACUUUAUACAGAGUGCCACCAACAGUAGCUACUUAACUUCUCUUAGGAUGCUGAGUGCUGACUGAGUUCAGCUGAGUGAUUUCUGCUGUAUGUACCCAAUGAUUUCUGCUGUAUGUGCUCAGUGAUUUCUGCUGUAUGUACCCAAUGAUUUCUGCUGUAUGUGCUCAGUGAUUUCUGCUGUAUGUGCUCAGUGAUUUCUGCUGUAUGUGCCCAGUGGUUUCUGCUGUAUGUACCCAGUGAUUUCUGCUGUAUGUACCCAGUGAUUUCUGCUGUAUGUACCCAGUGAUUUCUGCUGUAUGUACCCAGUGAUUUCUGCUGUAUGUACCCAGUGAUUUCUGCUGUAUGUGCCAAGUGAUUUCUGCUGUAUGUGCCCAGUGAUUUCUGCUGUAUGUGCUGUCUUUAGACAAGUACAAUGCCAGGUGCUGGCUGGAGCUUUAGUUUAAGCACCUCAGUUCUCCACAAGGGGGGGGGGCUCCAUUUGGAUGGGAUUACCAGAUAAAACAGAGGAUUGUAUUCUAUUUCAAUUUCAGGUGAAGAGAUUUUAGUGUGCAUAAUUUUAUUUGGAAUUAAAACUCAAUUAAACAUUUCAAAGGAAACACCUGUUUUGAAAAUACAGAAAUCCAAGAAGAAGAAAAACUUAAAAACAGGAAGCUGCAUCAUUUGCAGAGUAUCAUCGCCAAAGCCCAUUUUGUAUGCUGUAAAAUAUAUGCCAUUUUUAUGGAAAUCCCAUCAGUCAUAGUUUUACAGCUUACUUUAUUAUUGCACAGAUACAUUGAGAAAGUUUUCUGAUAUGACGUGAUACCACUUUAAUGACUAAAUCUUGGGCCCAUCAUUCAACAGAAAGUAAUACUGCAACCUGUCAGCCUUCACCUGUUUUCUCAACGAGCGGAAAUGACUGGCUAGAGCUCUGAGCAAACUGGAGAGGCACAGUCGAGAAAGCGACACUAAAUCAAAGCUGUGCCAUGACUUCUGUGGAGGGAGGCCCAGGAUUUAGAGACAGCCUUCUGCUUGUGGUUUCAGCCUCGUUUAAGAUUUUUCAUGAACAGUAAAAACGAGCCGUGUGAAUGCUCCUGUGCUCUGUCCUCCAGUGCGCUAUCAGGAGCCUGGCCUGUGUUCACUCCAUGCUUGCCGCCUAGCCAGGAACUUCCAAGUGGCCUCCUCCUUGGGGUAAGCGCCGGACAUCUCUAAGCAGCUCUCCUGGAUUCGGGGCUACCUUCUGCUAGGAAUAAAUGUUUGGAAACGAAAAUGCAGCCUGCUCCUUCACUGGUCUAUAAAAAAAAAGAACAUGGAGUUAUUUAAUGCAUAAAGAAAAUACAGUGUAGGGCAGACCUAAAGAAAUCAACUUCCCACGGACCACACCAGGCUCUAAGGAGUCAACAUCCAUGAGCUGUGUUAAAGGAGUGUUACAGGCUGGACCCAACCUGGAACCAGGAUGGAGACCGUGAUUGACUCGGGUCCUCGUAGUCCCAGGCUUCUCCUCACUGAUGUAUUAAGAGAUUCUGUAUAAGAACUGAAAUGAGUUUCUUUUAGAAAAUAUGAAGCCAAAUAGGACAGACCACACACAGUUUACAGACAUGAUGUUUAGGUGACACGGACUGAGGGUCUGUUAAUUGUCCCUUAGUAGGACACAACACUUUAGUCCAGAGCUUUCUCUUCUGUUCUUUCAGCUCUGUUUUCUGAACUGUUUCACACACUCAUACAUUGUAGAUGGGUCCGUGUGGGCUGGGGACAUAGCUGCGAACUUGAGACUAAUCACUUUCUCAUACUGGACUCAGCAGAUGGCUUUUGUAAGAAUGACUCAGAGACCCCCAAGGGAAAAUGGAAGAGGUAUUACCAGACACGCCAACAAUCAUGUGACUUGUCCACUCUUUCUGCCAAGCCCUAAAAUUGCAAGAGAACCCAAAUCACUAAGCAACGAAGGUAACUAUUUAUCAAGUAAAGACCAGGGCAGAAAAGUCAAAUCAGAAAUGUUGAUUUGGGACCCGCAAAAUGGUUCAGCAAAUAGGAUGGUGGAAAGAGAGAACCAACCCACUCACUUCACAUACACCGUGCGUGCGAGCGCGCGUGUGUGCACGCGCACACACACACACAAUGCAAUUAAAAUGUUUUAAAGAAAUGUGGAUUUUUGUAAUGGGCCUACACUUGGUUCGUGAGACGUGAAAUCAAAUGGAGUAUAAACUGUUACAGUACUCUAACAACCACGAAAAGCUCUCUCUCUCUCUCUCUCUCUCUCUCUCUCUCUCUCUCUCUCUCACACACACACACACACACACACACACACACACACACACACACACACACGGAUGGGCUAUACCACCAAGUAAAACAUCAGUUACCAUAUCUAAGCAGGGAUCUACUUUUUUUUUUAUCAAGCUUAAGAACAUUGUUCUGAUGAAUGAUUAUUAUUGGGGGGACAGUCAGGUGUUAGGUAAAGCAUGGUCUGAGUUAAUUCCCAUUUUAAUACCCAAUAUGCGUGAAUAUUUCACCUCAUACAUGAUAUAUUCAUAUUCUCUCCCCCACACCUAUCAGGUUCUCACUAUAUAACCCUGAUUGGACUAGAAUGCACUAUGCAGACCAGGCUGGUCUUGAAUUUACAGUGAUCCUCCUGCCUCAGCCUCCCCAUGCUGAGCCACCAUUACUUAACUUACAACACACAUCUUUAUACAUUUUCUUCAGGUUAUACAAAAGAGCUGCGCAUAGAUUGCAAUCAUUCUAUGAUAACCAUUGUAAUUCAGUUUUGAGCUUUCAUUUCGGCACAGGGUGUGAGUACCCGGAUUAAGCAGAAACUAUACUCACUCUGAGGAGCGACACCCAGCGCCACGUGCUCCUAAUGUCCUGUGUCAAAUGUUGGUAGAGGGGAAGAUGGAGUUGUUCCAAGGCCGUGUGCAAGAAAUUACGAAACAGUUCAAUAGGCCUGAUAUGUCUAGCCAUUAAUUAAAACAUCAUUGUCUUUUUCGCCCUUAAAUCAUAGCUUUAACAUAUUUACCAUGAGACAAUAUAAGUUCUGCCCAAAGGGAAAUGUUAUAGUCAUUAUCUCUUCCACAUAAAAUGUCCCCAGCUUGUGCUGACAGGUUCA